rnacentral:rRNA from 1 species
AGUGAACGCUGGCGGUAGGCCUAACACAUGCAAGUCGAACGGCAGCACAGUAAGAGCUUGCUCUUACGGGUGGCGAGUGGCGGACGGGUGAGGAAUACAUCGGAAUCUACUUUUUCGUGGGGGAUAACGUAGGGAAACUUACGCUAAUACCGCAUACGACCUACGGGUGAAAGCAGGGGAUCUUCGGACCUUGCGCGAUUGAAUGAGCCGAUGUCGGAUUAGCUAGUUGGCGGGGUAAAGGCCCACCAAGGCGACGAUCCGUAGCUGGUCUGAGAGGAUGAUCCGCCACACUGGAGCGAAGACGCGGGCCAGACUCCGACGGGAGGCAGCAGUGGGGAAUAUUCGACAAUGGGCGCAAGCCUGAUCCAGCCAUACCGCGUAGGUGAAGAAGGCCGUCGGGUUGUAAAGCCCGUUUGUUGGGAAAGAGAAGCAGCAGAUUAAUACCCCGCUGUGCUAACGGUACCCAAAGAAUAAGCACCGGCUAACAUCGU